rnacentral:lncRNA from 1 species
AUGAGGUCUUUUUUCUCCCGCAGUGGUUAUGGGCCAGUUUCCCAUCUCUUCUUCCAAAGAGCCCAUCACUGGGUGUUCAGAGAAUCUAAUUCACGCACCAUUUGGUUUGGGAAGAAAGACCUGUGGAAGAGGCGGGGCUUUCAGCUGGAGCCUUUCUCCCAAUCCUCCCGAGCUCGCCCAAGGCUCCCCACCCACACUGGGUGGGAAAACCAUCUAGCGAGAGUUUCACCGCUCAUUUCGCAAAUGGUAAGUUCCUUCCGCCUGGUUUGCUCUGUCCUGUGUCCACGGACCCUCUCGGCCCCCGGGCCUGAUCGAGGGUCUCUAACCCUGUCAGAUGCUCCCUCUCCGUGGCAGAGGGCUGCGGGGAAGCAGCCUGGGCACGGGAGAACCUGGUCGAUCUCCCGAAACCUUGUUUUCUCCCAUAACCCAGAAGGUUUACACAACACCUUCUCUUACGUGUUCUCACUCUGCCCUCAGGCUGACCUUGAGAGCAUAUCCCCACUUUACAGAUGAGCCCCUUAAAGCCCAGAAAGGUGAACUGGGGAGUUCCCAUUGUGGUGCAGUGGUAAUGAACCCGACUCGCAUCCAUGAGGAUGCGGGUUCCAUCCCUGGCCUCGCUCAUGGGGUUAACGAUCCAGCAUUGCUGUGAGCUGUGGUGUAGGUCACAGACGUGGUUUGGAUCCCACAUUGCUGUGGCUGUGGUGUAGGCCUGCCACUGCAGCUCCAAUCGCUCCCUAGCCUGUAUGCUGCCGGUGCAGCCCUAAAAAGCAAAAAAAAACCAAAAAAAAAAAAAAAAACGGGACUUGUCUAAACCCAGGAUCCCUGGCUACAGUGUGCCUCCUGCCCAGAUAUUCAGUUGUCCUGCACCCACCUGGGGAUUCUGUUAUGACCCCUGAACCCCCACCCCCAACCUGGCCUUGGUAUCUGGCUGCCCAGACUCCUCUUCCCGCCUCUGCUCUCAGCCCCCCGUCCCAGUGGGGCCGGGUUUCUGGUGUUCUCUGAGCCUGCCAGGUGGUGGGUGGGCUUCUGGGAGACCCAGCGCCCCGCAUGGGUGUUGUAGAAUUUGUGAUGCCUGCUUGUGUGCAUUUAUCUGGGUAAGAAUCCAGUUUCGGAGUUCCCGUCGUGGCGCAGUGGUUAACGAAUCCGACUAGGAACCAUGAGGUUGCGAGUUCGAUCCCUGCCCUUGCUCAGUGGGUUAACGAUCCGGCGUUGCCGUGAGCUGUGGUGUAGGUUGCAAACGCGGCUCGGAUCCCGCGUUGCUGUGGCUCUGGUGUAGACCGGUGGCUACGGCUCCAAUUAGACCCUAGCCUGGGGACCUCCAUAUGCCGCAGGAGCGGCCCCAAGAAAUAGCAAGAAAAAAAAAAAAAGAAUCCAGUUUCAUCAGCUCCUCAAAGUCAAUGGGGUCCCCCCGCAAAAAAAAGGGUUAAAUUAAUUUCAGACAUUCGUUCCUUCCCCCAAAUGCCCUCUCCACCCCUCUCGACCCAUGUAAUGCCACGCUUCCUAAUUUUUCUUCUCUUUAAACAAAACCACCUCUGAUGUCGGGCCCAUGAAGAUUCUCCCACCCCAGUUUGUUGUUCUCUUCUUUCCAAGGAGUAAUGCAAAGAGGGAGAAGCCAGAGGGUUCCCAGGGCCGCCUGUACGUGGCCAACCAGCAGGUGAGGAGGUAUUUCAGCAGAGGGCACGACGGCCUGGGAACCUCCGCCGCUCCCUGCAGGGUUCAUGUAACUCCUCCCGUCGGCCCAGCGCGGCCUGUGACGGAUCAGGAGCACGAAGGGCUGAGGGUGUGUGUGGCUCAUGGAUACAGACACGGUCUCAGCUGAGAGAGAAAACCGGCCCCUCACCUGGCAGCACUGCGUAAUGAUAUUCCAGCUGAAAACAAAACGAGAAAAGCAGUCAAGCUUCCCCCACGCCCCAGACACCAAAACAGAACAACGCCACUGCUUAUGGGGACCUGCGGGCGGGCGGGGGUGUGAAGCUUUGUAAGCUCGGGUCUGGUUUGGGAGCUCCAGAUGAGGGGUGGGGGGUGAGGGAGUGGCCCGAGGGGGGCUCUGGCGGAGCGUGGGGGUGGGGUUCUGGCCGUGGGUGCCGGACCUCGGCCCUGACACCCUUCCAGCCUCUCAGCCUCCACGCACCCUCUCCCACGCUUUCUCACUCUUCGCCUGGAAGCGCUUCUGCUUCUCUGGGCUAGUCUGUCUUCUGAUCACGCGUGUGGGGCAAAGGGAACCGUCGUGCCCUGUUGGGGAGCUGUGAAUUAGUACAGCCACUGUGGAAGACAGAGAGGAGGGGCCUCAAGAAAUUAAUCCCAGAACCACCAGGAGUUCCCAUUGUUGCACACUGGGUUAAGGACCUGACUUAGGGUCCAUGAGGAUUCAGGUUCCAUCCCUGGCCUUGCUCAGUGGGUUGAGGAUCCCGCGUUGCCACAAGCGCUGGUGUAGGUUGCAGAGGCAGCUUGGAUCCGGUGUUUCAGAAGCUGUGGCCUAGGCCUCAGCAGCAGCUCUAAUUCAGCCCCUGGCCCAGAAACGUCCAUAUGCCUCAGGUGCAGCCAUAAAAUAAAAAAUAAAAAAAUAGAACCA